UACGGAAGGCAGCAGUGGGGAAUAUUGCACAAUGGGCGAAAGCCUGAUGCAGCUAUGCCGCGUGUAUGAAGAAGGCCUUAGGGUUGUAAAGUACUUUCAUCGGGGAGGAAAAAACAAAACUAAUAAUUUUAUUUCUUGACGUUACCCGAAAAAGAAGCACCGGCUAACUCCGUGCCAGCAGCCGCGGUAAUACGGAGGGUGCUAGCGUUAAUCAGAAUUACUGGGCGUAAAGAGCACGUAGGUGGUUUUUUUAAGUUCAGAUGUGAAUCCCUGGGCUUAACCUAGGAACUGCAUUUUGAAACUGAAAUACUAGAGUAUCGUAGAGGGAGGUAGAAUUCUAGGUGUAGCGGUGAAAUGCGUAGAUAUCUGGAGGAAUACCUGUGGCGAAAGCGGCCUCCUAAACGAAUACUGACACUGAGGUGCGAAAGCGUGGGGAGCAAACAGGGAUUAGAUACC
rnacentral:rRNA from 1 species